rnacentral:rRNA from 1 species
CCGGCGACCGGCGCACGGGUGAGUAACACGUAUGCAACCUGCCCUCCGCAGGGGGAUAACCCGGAGAAAUCCGGACUAAUACCGCGUGGUACACCAGUGGGGCAUCCCACUGGUGUUAAAAGGAAGUGAUUCCGGCGGAGGAUGGGCAUGCGGCGCAUUAGCUUGUUGGCGGGGUAACGGCCCACCAAGGCGACGAUGCGUAGGGGUUCUGAGAGGAAGGUCCCCCACAUUGGAACUGAGACACGGUCCAAACUCCUACGGGAGGCAGCAG